UGCCCUUUUUAAUCCGUGUCAAGCUGUUAAAUACCCAAACAAGCCCUGUUGCUUUCUGUCUUUCAUCACUACCUCUAUACAUAUACAACUCCAAUAUUACUACUAGCAUAAUUGCGCCGGUUUCCCUUUCUAACAAAACUAGAAAUAGAGAAGCUGAUCCACGCCACCCCCAUGGCCAUUUCAGCUCCUCCCCCAAACCCCGUACCCGUCGCAUACCAAGGCGGCACAUCGGCGGNNCAUCGGCGGCAGUUCCCGACUGGUUAAACAAGGGAGACAACGCAUGGCAAAUGAUAUCGGCAACACUCGUGGGUCUUCAAAGCGUGCCGGGACUUGUAAUUCUUUAUG
rnacentral:misc_RNA from 1 species